rnacentral:rRNA from 1 species
UACAGAGGGUGCGAGCGUUAAUCGGAAUUACUGGGCGUAAAGCGUGCGUAGACGGUUAUUUAAGUCGGGGUGUGAAAGCCCCGGGCUCAACCCUGGGAAUUGCAUUCGAGACUGAAUAGCUAGGGUACGGUAGGAGGGAAGUGGAAUUUCCGGUGUAGCGGUGAAAUGCGUAGAUAUCUGGAGGAACACCGGUGGCGAAGGCGGCAUCCUGGAC